AACGAACGCUGGCGGCAUGCCUAACACAUGCAAGUCGAACGAGACCUUCGGGUCUAGUGGCGCACGGGUGCGUAACGCGUGGGAACCUGCCCUUAGGUUCGGAAUAACUCCCCGAAAGGGGUGCUAAUACCGGAUAAUGUCUUCGGACCAAAGAUUUAUCGCCUUUGGAUGGGCCCGCGUUGGAUUAGCUAGUUGUAGGGUAAAAGCCUACCAAGGCGACGAUCCAUAGCUGGUCUGAGAGGAUGAUCAGCCACACUGGGACUGAGACACGGCCCAGACUCCUACGGGAGGCAGCAGUGGGGAAUAUUGGACAAUGGGCGAAAGCCUGAUCCAGCAAUGCCGCGUGAGUGAUGAAGGCCUUAGGGUUGUAAAGCUCUUUUACCCGGGAUGAUAAUGACAGUACCGGGAGAAUAAGCUCCGGCUAACUCCGUG
rnacentral:rRNA from 1 species